rnacentral:rRNA from 1 species
CACGUAGGGUGCGAGCGUUGUCCGGAAUUAUUGGGCGUAAGAGCUCGUAGGCGGUGUGUCACGUCGGCCGUGAAAACCUGCAGCUUAACUGUGGGCGUGCGGUCGAUACGGGCAUCACUGGAGUUCGGCAGGGGAGACUGGAAUUCCUGGUGUAGCGGUGAAAUGCGCAGAUAUCAGGAGGAACACCGGUGGCGAAGGCGGGUCUCUGGGCCGAUACUGACGCUGGAGGAGCGAAAGCGUGGGGAGCAAACAGG